rnacentral:rRNA from 1 species
AACGAACGCUGGCGGCGUGCUUAACACAUGCAAGUCGAACGGGUUUAAUGGAUGUAGCAAUACAUUCAUUAAAUUAGUGGCGCACGGGUGAGUAACACGUAGGUAACCUACCCUUCAGUGGGGGACAACAGAGGGAAACUUCUGCUAAUACCGCAUACGAUCACGGACUGGGAUGUUCGUGGUGAAAGGAUUUAUUCGCUGAGGGAUGGGCCUGCGGCCUAUCAGGUAGUUGGUGAGGUAAUGGCUCACCAAGCCUGCACGGGUAGCCGGACUGAGAGGUCGAUCGGCCACACUGGAACUGAGACACGGUCCAGACUCCUACGGGAGGCAGCAGUGGGGAAUAUUGCACAAUGGGGGAAACCCUGAUGCAGCGACGCCGCGUGGAGGAUGACGGCCUUCGGGUUGUAAACUCCUUUUGUCAGGGACAAUGGUGAUGGUACCUGUACGAUAAGCCACGGCUAACUCUAGUGCCAGCAGCCGCGGUAAGCGUAGCGU